rnacentral:rRNA from 1 species
ACACUCCUGCGGGAGGCAGCAGUGGGGAAUUUUGGACAAUGGGCGAAAGCCUGAUCCAGCAAUGCCGCGUGAGUGAAGAAGGCCUUCGGGUUGUAAAGCUCUUUUGUCAGGGAAGAAACGGUGAGAGCUAAUAUCUUUUGCUAAUGACGGUACCUGAAGAAUAAGCACCGGCUAACUACGUGCCAGCAGCCGCGGUAAUACGUAGGGUGCAAGCGUUAAUCGGAAUUACUGUGCGUACAGCGUGCGCAGGCGGUUUUGUAAGUCUGAUGUGAAAUCCCCGGGCUCAACCUGGGAAUUGCAUUGGAGACUGCAAGGCUAGAAUCUGGCAGAGGGGGGUAGAAUUCCACGUGUAGCAGUGAAAUGCGUAGAUAUGUGGAGGAACACCGAUGGCGAAGGCAGCCCCCUGGGUCAAGAUUGACGCUCAUGCACGAAAGCGUGGGGAGCAAACAGGAUUAGAAACCCGGGUAGUCCCAUG